AUCCAGCUGACGAGUCCCAAAGAGGAUGAAACACGCGUCGAACUGGAU
rfam:Schistosoma haematobium scaffold669_7, whole genome shotgun sequence.